UAGGGAAUCUUCGGCAAUGGACGGAAGUCUGACCGAGCAACGCCGCGUGAGUGAAGAAGGUUUUCGGAUCGUAAAGCUCUGUUGUAAGAGAAGAACGAGUGUGAGAGUGGAAAGUUCACACUGUGACGGUAUCUUACCAGAAAGGGACGGCUAACUACGUGCCAGCAGCCGCGGUAAUACGUAGGUCCCGAGCGUUGUCCGGACUUAUUGGGCGUAAAGCGAGCGCAGGCGGUUAGAUAAGUCUGAAGUUAAAGGCUGUGGCUUAACCAUAGUACGCUUUGGAAACUGUUUAACUUGAGUGCAAGAGGGGAGAGUGGAAUUCCAUGUGUAGCGGUGAAAUGCGUAGAUAUAUGGAGGAACACCGGUGGCGAAAGCGGCUCUCUGGCUUGUAACUGACGCUGAGGCUCGAAAGCGUGGGGAGCAAACAGGAUUAGAUACCCUGGUAGUCCACGCCGUAAACGAUGAGUGCUAGGUGUUAGACCCUUUCCGGGGUUUAGUGCCGUAGCUAACGCAUUAAGCACUCCGCCUGGGGAGUACGACCGCAAGGUUG
rnacentral:rRNA from 1 species